rnacentral:rRNA from 1 species
UACGGAGGGAGCUAGCGUUGUUCGGAAUUACUGGGCGUAAAGCGCACGUAGGCGGCUUUGUAAGUUAGAGGUGAAAGCCCGGAGCUCAACUCCGGAACUGCCUUUAAAACUGCAUCGCUUGAAUCCAGGAGAGGUGAGUGGAAUUCCGAGUGUAGAGGUGAAAUGCGUAGAUAUCGAGAGGAACACCUGCGGCGAAGGCGGGUAGCUGGGCCGACACUGACGCUGAGGCGCGAAAGCCAGGGGAGCGAACGGG